GCGCGAAAACUUUACAAUGCUGGCAACAGCGAUAAGGGAACCUCGAGUGCCAGGUUACAAAUCUGGCUGUCGAGAUGCCUAAAAAGCAUUUCAUAGCAAGGGCCGGGCAAGACCGGUGCCAGCCGCCGCGGUAACACCGGCGGCUCGAGUGGUAACCGUUAUUAUUGGGUCUAAAGGGUCUGUAGCCGGCCGGAUAAGUCUCUUGAGAAAUCUGGCAGCUUAACUGUCAGGCUUUCAGGAGAUACUGUCUGGCUCGAGGCCGGGAGAGGUGAGAGGUACUUCAGGGGUAGGGGUGAAAUCUUGUAAUCCUUGAAGGACCACCAGUGGCGAAGGCGUCUCACCAGAACGGACCUGACGGCAAGGGACGAAAGCUAGGGGCACGAACCGG
rnacentral:rRNA from 3 species